rnacentral:rRNA from 1 species
GACGAACGCUGGCGGCGUGCUUAACACAUGCAAGUCGAACGGAAAGGCCCUGCUUUUGUGGGGUGCUCGAGUGGCGAACGGGUGAGUAACACGUGAGUAACCUGCCCUUGACUUUGGGAUAACUUCAGGAAACUGGGGCUAAUACCGGAUAGGAGCUCCUGCAGCAUGGGGGGGGUUGGAAAGUUUCGGCGGUUGGGGAUGGACUCGCGGCUUAUCAGCUUGUUGGUGGGGUAGUGGCUUACCAAGGCUUUGACGGGUAGCCGGCCUGAGAGGGUGACCGGCCACAUUGGGACUGCGAUACGGCCCAGACUCCUACGGGAGGCAGCAGUGGGGAAUAUUGCACAAUGGGCGGAAGCCUGAUGCAGCAACGCCGCGUGCGGGAUGACGGCCUUCGGGUUGUAAACCGCUUUCGCCUGUGACGAAGCGUGAGUGACGGUAAUGGGUAAAGAAGCACCGGCUAACUACGUG